GGUUCAGGAUGAACGCUGGCGGCGUGCUUAACACAUGCAAGUCGAACGAGGGUUACCGGUUGAAAUUUCGAAUGGAAACGGGUAAUUCCUAGUGGCGGACGGGUGAGUAACGCGUGGGGAACCUGCCCCAUUCCGGGGGAUACCAGUUGGAAACGACUGUUAAUACCGCAUAAGCGCACAGUACUGCAUGGUACGGUGUGAAAAAACCACGGUGGAAUGGGAUGGCCCCGCGUCUGAUUAGCCAGUUGGCAGGGUAACGGCCUACCAAAGCGACGAUCAGUAGCCGGCCUGAGAGGGCGACCGGCCACAUUGGGACUGAGACACGGCCCAAACUCCUACGGGAGGCAGCAGUGGGGAAUAUUGCACAAUGGGGGGAACCCUGAUGCAGCGAACCGCCGCGUGAGUGAAGAAGUAUUUCGGUAUGUAAAGCUCUAUCAGCAGGGAAGAAGAUGACGGUACCUGCACAAGAAGCCCCGGCUAACUACGUGCCAGCCGCUGC
rnacentral:rRNA from 1 species